AGCGAACGCUGGCGGCAGGCCUAACACAUGCAAGUCGAACGCGUGUAGCAAUACACGAGUGGCAGACGGGUGAGUAACACGUGGGAACGUGCCCUUCGGUUCGGAAUAACUCAGGGAAACUUGAGCUAAUACCGGAUACGCCUUACGGGAAGGAUUAUCGCCGAUGGAUCGGCCCGCGUCUGAUUAGCUAGUUGGUGAGGUAACGGCUCACCAAGGCGACGACGGGUAGCCGGCCUGAGAGGGCGGACCGGCCACACUGGGACUGAGACACGGCCCAGACUCCUACGGGAGGCAGCAGUGGGGAAGUAUUGCACAAUGGGCGGAAAGCCUGAUGCAGCGACGCCGCGUGAGGGA
rnacentral:rRNA from 1 species